rnacentral:lncRNA from 1 species
AUUUAAUCCUUCUGGCUUUCUCAAUCACGUCAAGAUGAGAGCCAUGCUGUGGACAGAAGGAAAGUCAGCAGCCCCCCAGUAUCUGUCAGCUUCAGCUCCCAGGAGAAAAUAAGUGGGCAGCAAUCACAGAGGAGGAGAUCCAGAGAACCUCACAAGCAGGUACAGGACAGAUGGCUGUGAGCUCUCUAUCUUUUAGGUGAUGUAUUGGAGUUCUAA